UGGGACUACAGGCGCGCGCCAGCGGCAUGCCCAGCUAAUUUUUGUAUUUUUAGUAGAGACGGGGUUUCACCAUGUUGGCCAGGAUGGUCUAAAUCUCUUGACCUCGUGAUCCACAGGCCUCGGCCUCCCAAAACGCUGGGAUUACAGGCGUGAGCCACCGCGCCCGGCCUUGUUCUGGUUUUUAAAGGGAAAGUGGCUUCCAUUUUACCAUAAGUAUGAAAUAUGCUCUGUGUCUCAGGCCAAGGACCUUCCCUUCUUUUUAUAGGCUGAAUUUUCUUCUUCCUGGCAGGGCGAGGUGGCUCACACCUGUAAUCCCAGCACUUUGAGAGGCCGAAGCAGGAAGACUGCUUGAGCCCAGGAGCUCUAGGAGUUUGAGACCAGCCUAGACUACCAGUGUCUGCUCCUCCGUGCCUGAGGGCCAGAAGUGUUGAGGGCUGAAUGCCUCCUGAAGCAGCCUUGACAAUAACUGACAGGAAGGAGUAAGUGUAGAAACUCUCCUGCUCCCUGACCCAAGAGUGGGAAGAUUCAGAGGCAUGGAUCUUACAUUUUCCCAGACUUCCCUCCAGAAGGAAGCUUUCUUGUCCACUUGGUGGCUGGCAUAAUAAACAUCUUUUAUUGACUGCUUUCCCUGCCCCGUAUCACAUUCCCACUUCCCUGCCGAUGCUUCCUGUCCUCCCAAAUCAAUUAUCUACACUAAAAUACUCAGGGUCUGCUUCUGGGACUUCAAACUAAGACACUGCAUAUAGAAUUCUCCACAAAUGGACUUCUUCUCUCAGCACUUCUCUUUGGAUCUUCUAAUUCUAUCAUGUUUCUUAAUUCUGCCUCCAUUUUUUUUUUUUUUUUUUUUUUUUUUUGAGAUGGAGUCUCACUCUGUCACCCAGGCCAAAGUGCAGUGGUGUGAUCUUGGCUCACUGCAACCUCUGCCUCCUGGGUUCAAGCAAUCCUCCUGCCCCAGCCUCUUGAAUAGCUGGAAUUACAGGCAUGCACCACCAUGCAAGGCUAAUAGUUGUAUUUUUAGUAGAGAUGGGAUUUCAACACGUUGGCCAGGCUGGUCUCGAACUCCUGACCACAAGUGAUCUGCCUUACUUGGGCUCCCAAAGUGCUGGGAUUACAGGCAUAAGCCACUGUGCCUGGCUGCUCUUCCAUUUUUUCAUCUCUAUAUUUGAGUGAUUUCUUUAGAACCAUUUUUCAGCUUUUUUUUUCCCAAAAAUAUCUGGUGUUUUUGAAUUUUUCAAUUAAUUUACUAUAUACAUUUCUUAAAGUUCUUUUUUUUUUUUUUUGGGACAGUAUCUCACUCUAUUGGCUAGGCUGGAGUGCGCGAUUAUGGCUCACUGCAACCUCAACCUCCUGGGCUCAAGGGGUCCUCCCUCCUACCUCAGCCUCCUGAGUAGCUGUGACCACAGGCAUGCACCGCCAGGCCCAGCUAAUUUUUUAUUUUUAUUUUUUGUAGAGAUGGGGUCUUGCUGUGUUGUGUAGGCUAGUCUCAAAUUACUGAGCACAGACAAUCCUCUUGCCUCUGCCUCCCAAAGUGUUAGGAUUACAGGUGUGAGCCUCCACGUCUGGCCUUAAAGUUCUUUUUCAAGUUUUCCUCCUGUUCUUUCUUUUUUUUUUUUUUUUAACGGACUCUCACUCGGUCACCAGGCUGGAGUGCUGUGGCAUGAUCUUGGCUCACUGCAGCCUCCGCUUCCCGGGUUCAAGCGAUUCUCCUGCCUCAGCCUCCAGAGUAGCUGGGACUACAGGUGCGUGCCACCAUGCCCAGCUGAUUUUUGUAUUUUUAGUAGAGAUGGGGUUUCACCAUAUUGGCCAGGAUGGUCUUGAUCUGUUGACCUUGUGAUCCACCCACCGUGAGCCACCGUGCCCUGCCUUGAAAAAAGUUUAUUCUUUGUAAAGACAGGGUCUUGCUGUGUUGCCCAGGCUGGUCUUGAACUCCUGGUCUCAAGCGAUUAUCCCAUCUCAGCCUCCCAAAGUGCCAGGAUUAUAGACAUGAACCACCGUGCCUAGCCUCUAUUAUAAUUUUAAACACUCAUUUUUUUCUUUUUAUCUUUCUCUGAUGAUUUUAUUAUCUGAAAUUCUUAGGGAUUUAAUUCUUGCUCAUGGUAGAUUGUUUUCUCAAGUGUUGAAAAAUUUGUGAUUUUGAAUUCAUCGUCAAGAGAGCUUUAUUUGCAUGAGUGCAAAGGAUGAAAAUUCUAGACUGGGCGUGGUGGCUCACGCCUGUAAUCCCAGCACUUUGGGAGACCGAGGUGGGCAGAUCACGAGGUCAGGAGUUUGAGACCAGCCUGGCUAACAUAGUGGAACCCCAUCUCUACUAAAAAUACAAAAAAUUAGCUGGGUGUAGUGGUGUGUGCAUGUAAUCCCAGCUACUUGGGAGGCUGAGGCAGGAGAAUUGCUUGAAGCCGGGAGGCAGAGGUUGCAGUGAGCCAUGAUUGCAUCACUGCACUCCAGCCCAGCGGACAGUGCGAGACUCCAUCUCAAAAAAAAAAAAAGAAAGAAAAGAAUAUUCUAAAAAAAGACUUAAUUCCCCCCGCCACCCCACCCCAAAACAAGUGGAGACAGGCAAACUUCCUUAUCUUCUAGGUUGGGGGAUGGAUUUUUUUCCUGGUCCACUGUUUGGAAGAUGUUUCCCUUCAAACUUUCAGCUUUUGCAGGGAUCUCCGUUCUAGUUCUCCCUCUGGGUC
rnacentral:lncRNA from 10 species